GAUGACCCACCUGCCUCAGCCUCCCAAAGUGCUGGCAUGAGCCACCUCACCCGGCCUAAGAAGGGAUUUAUUAUAGGGUACUAGGUGGCUUACAGAAUCAUGUGAGGGCUGAAGAAAUGAACUUGAGGUUGAGCUUUCCACAGAAAUUCCCAAAGGCCCACCACAGAACUAAACCACCAAGAGAGCUGCUGCUGCUACGCCUAGGUGGAUGCAGAAUUGCAUUGAUACGACCCUAAUCCUGAAGCCACCGCUUUCAGGGUGCCUUCCCUCCUACUGCUAAUUCUAGAACCCUACUGCACCUGCUGCUAUCUGGACCACAAAAUGUGUGCCUUUUACCCUGCCUCUCAGGAACCACAGAAUAGUGACCAUAUUCUGCAUCCUCUGCUAAUGAUGCCACAGAAGUCCAAGAGCAUCCAUCAGAAAUAGCUGUGGCAGUAGAGGUGUGACCACUGCCAUCGUCCACAUCUCACACUCGGGCAUCUAAUGGCUAAAUCCAAAUCACAUCUGGAAUCCUUUCUCAAGGGAUUCCUGGAAUCAUAGCAUUCAGCUUCCCAAUGAUGGAGGUACAGAAAGGCAUGCUGGAAGAGUGUUUUCCAAAAGUUCUGACAUAUUCUACUGUAGAAUCAUUUUCCUCACACAUACAUACAGUCACAUACGCAUCUACCUGAAAUAAAAGAUUCACAAGACAGUUGAGGCACCCUGAUGGUUUCAAUUCUAGUCUAUGCUGAGCAGUGCUAUGCUAUUCCAUGCUAUUUCAUUCCAUUAAGAAAUGCUGGUCUUGACCCACUAAGUUGGUUUCGUGAUGGACUAAUGGACGAUAACUGGCAGUUUGGAAAAACACUUCACAACAAGAAGGGAGAAAUGGAUGUUGAGUGCCAAUCCACAAUAUCUACGAUACUAUUUUAUACUAUUCCUUCCCCUGUCCUGAAUUGACAGAAAGAAUUCAAGGCUGCUCACAGAAGGGACUCAGUGAUAUGAUAAACUGCAUAGUGAACUGAGGAUCAAAAGUAGCUUCUAGUCCAUGGACCAGCAGUUUAUUUGUUUGUAAAUGAGAGCGUUGUGAUAGUUCUGUGUUGUAAUGACCGGAUUGACACCUACCUAGUAGGAAAACUGAGGGAAAUGUUGACCAGUCUAUACCUUGUACCUUUUACUAGAGGAUGGAUUAAGCCCACGAGGGAGUUUUGAUGGCAAAUGCACUAUGGUGUGCCUUUAGAAGCAACUGUUGUACUCCUGAAAAAUAUUAGUUGGCUUUAGUCCAGUUCCUGGUUUUGCAUGUAGGUGUAAAACUAAUGAUUCAUUCUGAGAGCAUGGGGGUAUAUAUUGAAUGUGAGAAGCAUGACUCAUUCACCUGCCCCAUGUUUGAAAAGCAAUUGUUAAUUACACUGUUAACAUUUGUUAAGACUUUAAUUUCUUCAUGUAGAGCUUUUAGGUAAAAGCUUAUAUUUACCAAUAACUGGGGCUUUCAAUGAGAACUUUUUUCCUGAUGCAGUGCUGGUUGGAAGGUAAUUGGUUUCAAAAAAGAAAAGCCCAUUGAGAAGGCAGAACAAAGAAACGUUUAACACAUGUUUCAUCUGUGCCAAAUAGUACACCAAGCAUUUCCAUGCACAAUCACUCGUGUAGUCCUUACAAUAGCUCUUAAUGAAGAAAUUAUGAUUUUCCUUUUUGUAGAUGAGGGAGAAAGGCUUAAAGAGAUUAAAAGGGAUUCACCCAAGGUCAUUAAACUAGAAAGUGAAAGCAUGGAAUUCACAUUCAAUUUUGGAUGACUCACACCUCCUACUUUUCCUACUGUUCCAGGAUGUCUCUGUUGCUUUCAUUAUUUGUUCAAGGUGAAUAUAAGUCAAAACAAAACCCCUCAACACAAACUUUAUUAGCAAGACGGUAAUUUUUAUCUUUUGGAAAAAAGAGACCUUCUAAUGGGUCCUUCAGCUGCCCAUUUCAUCUCUUCCUUAGCCAUAUUUUCCUCUUUUUAGGACCCUGAUAUCUAAAAGCAACAGAGAAUUGAACAGAUGAUUUGUGGGCAUUAUUUUGGUUUCAUAUCUUUUAUGGUUUUCUUUUGGUUGUGAUUGCAUUUAAGGAAACCGGAAGAAUUUGUGUUAAGGAAAGAAUAUGUUUCCCCAAAGUUCAUAUGUUGAAGUCCUAACCUAGAUGUGAUGGUAUUUGAAGGUGGGGCCUUUUGAAGGUAAUUAGGUUUAGAGGAAGUCGUUAGGAAGAGCCCACAUGAUGAAAUUAGUGCCCUUAUAGGAAGAGGAAGAGACUGGAGAGCUUGCGCUCUCUCUACUGUAAGGAGACAGCAAGAAGGCAUCUAUGUCUCUGCACGCCAGGAAGAGAGAGCACCAGAACCCAACCACGCUGGCACCUUGAUUUUGGACUUCUAGUCUCCAGCACUGUAAGAAGAAAAUUUCUGUUGUUUAAACCACCCAUUUUAUAGUAUUUUGUUAUGGCAGCCUGAGCUAAGACAGUAAGUAACCUAAAACACUUCCCUAAACACCUCUAUAAACUUAACGCAAGUGCCGGUCAUGUUUAUGACACUUUGAUUGUGUAUGGUUGUAGCAAUGUGAAAAAUGCCAAACUUGUAAAAUAUGUGAAAAAGAUCUGCAAAACGUUCAUGCCUCUUUAAACACUUGACUCUUAAUAUUUGUUUUCAAAUUUUUUCUCUUUUAGCAAAAAUACACAAAAUUAAGUAAAAUACUAGGACUAAAAGGAACCCAAUUCAAUGUGAUUCUUCACCCAUGCAAUCUGGUUACCCUCAGUGCAGAGGUUGAGCUGACAUUUGUACCUACUGACAGGAUAUAAUUUGUGACUUUGGGGAACAUGGUUGCACACUUUUGAGAAUCACUUUUUUAAUGCUAAUUAGCUUAUUUAAAUUUUUUUUUUAUGGUUUCUUAUAUGUAAGCCAAUAUAUAGUCCGCAUGGUUCUGCUAAUAGUCCUUAGAAGCUGGCAAUGAUGUCCUUCGCAGAGAUGGUAGAAUCCUCUGUGUGAUUCUUUCAGAGUGUGUGAUGAGUUACAGGAAAACGGCAGUUUCCAAAACAGUUCUGCAAACCACUUCAUCGUAAUCUUCAUAAUAGUCACCAUUUAUUUAUGCACCAGAGACUGUGUUGAAAACUUUGUAAGCUUUAUGUAAUUUAAUCUUCCCCUAACCAUAAUCUUAAUGAUAAUAGUCACCAUUUAUUUAUGCACCAGGGUGUGUUUGAGCACACUGUAAGCUCUAUGUAAUUGAAUCUUCCCCUAACCCACCACUGGCUGGUCUGACCCUGCUGUGCUCUCUCUCUCCCAUGCUAUUCUGCCUCUUCUUUGGAGGGGCCCAUUGUCAGGCCUGAAGCUGGGUAUCUGACCAGGUUGUGCCCUGUCCUACACGGGAGUGGGAACUGCUCUGUACCUAGGCGUCUGCCACUGACUCAGAAGUCCAGACUGUUGGAUGGUCUUCAGUGAGUCAUACCUUCCAGUAUUGAUGUCCUUUUGCAAUCCUUCCCCAACCCACACUGACUCUGGGCUUGGCCAACUGACUGGCUUUGGGCAAUGGGACAUUGGCAAGUGUGCUGCAGGCAGAGGCUUGGUAAGCCCUUGCACACUGGGGCUUGCCCUGUGGAAUGCAGAUGCCAUGCAAGAAGAGAAGACUGGGCUAGUCUUGAAGAGAGAUCCUAAGACCACAUGCAGUAAGAGGCUGGUCAUCCCAGCAUCCCACUGGAGCCCACCCCUGAGCCAAUUUUUCAGCUGAAUGCAACCACAUAAGGGACUCCAGUUAUGAACAGAACUGCCCAGUCGACCCACAGGAUCAUGACAAACAAUGCAUUAUUGUUGUUUUAAGCCACUGACUUUUUGGGGUGGUUUGCUGCGUAGCAGUAGAUGGCUGAAACACCCUCCAUAAAAUAGUGUGAGACAUAACCUUAUACCAAAAUAAAAAUUUAGCACGGAUGCUAUCAUACCAAUGGCAAAUGAACAGUUGUGGGAAAACAGUAGAGCUUUCAAUGAGCUCAAAGUAGCAUAUCUGCAUCAGGGGCCCAUGCCUUGUUGCCAGGAAGUCCAUCAGAAGAAACCUAGGGAGUUUUCAGGAGUCCUGGCUGCUGGGAAAGCCAGCACUGCAGCUGUUGGCCUGUGGAAAUGUGAAAAAAAGAAAGAAAGGAAGAAAAAAAAAACCCACAGGCACUCCAACCGCUUCACCACAAUAAUUGCAACUCUUAUUUCUAUUUGCCAGCAAAACUAGUGUUUACAAGAGAAAAACAAGACGAAUUAUAUUUUUAGCAAUAAAUGUUUUAUUUGGAAAAUGUCAGUGCCAGUUGCACCCUAAUGGUGUUUUUUUCCAAAACAUGUGGUUAGUAAGAAGAGUGGAGUAGGGAUUCAGGUUAUUUUAAGAGAGCUCUGAGAGCUUGACUAGACAGUAUUGAACCGGACUGUAUUAGAAGGGAUAUGGGCCUGUUUGCACUGUAGCUGCAGAAUAUAUCUGACAUGAAGCAUCUCCUUGCUUUGUGGGAUGGCUUUGGUACAUGCACCAGCACUGCUGUGUCCCACCGACUCAGCUUCCCUUUCCUGAAUUGCUUUUUGUUCAUUGCAUUAGAUGAAAUGAAUUGAGUGGUUUGGACAUUGGAGAAGAUUAUAGAUCUUCAAGGAAAAAUACAUUCAGUACAUGAUUAGAGGCUAGAAUAGAUAAGAAAUCAAUUUGGAAUGAGCAGUUUUUAAAAAAUAAACUUUAUAUUUUGGAGCGGUUUUUGGUUCAGAGCAAAACCAAGUGAAAUGUACAGAGAUCUCCCUCAUACUCCCUCCCUCCACAUAUGCGCAGCCUCUCCUGUCAAAAUCCUGCACCAGAGUGGCACAUUUGUGACAACUGAUGGACCUACAGUGACACACCAAAGUGCAUAGUUUACAUUAGGGUUCACUUUUAAUGUUGGAAAUUCUGUGAGUUUUGGCAAAUGUAUCAUAACAUGUAUCCACCAUUAUAGUAUCAUACAGAGUAGUGUCACUGCCCUAAAAAUUCUUUGUGUGCUGCCUCAUCAUCCCUCUCCCCCUCCUACCCCUGACAACCAGUGAUCCUUUUACUCUCCACAGUUUUGCCUUUUAAAGAAUGUCAUGUAGUUGGAAUCACACAGUAUGUGGCGUUUUCAGAUUGGCUUCUUUCCCUUAGCAAUAUGCAAUUAAGUUUCCUCCGUAUCUUUUCACGGUUUGGCUGCUCAUUUCUUUUUAAGGCUGAAUCAUAUUCGAUUGUCUGGAUGCACCACCAUUUAUUUAUCCUUUUGCCCAUGGUAGGACAUUUUAGGUGCUUCCAAAAUGAGGCAAUUAUGAAUAAAACUGCUUUAAACA